GGUUUGAUUCUGGCUCAGAUUGAACGCUGCAGGAUGCUUUACACAUGCAAGUCGAACGGCAGCACGGACUUCGGUCUGUGGCGAGGGCGAACGGGUGAGUAAUGUAUCGGAACGCCUAGUAGCGGGGAUAACUACGCGAAAGCGUAGCUAAUACUGCAUACGCCCUUCGGGGGAAAGCGGGGGACCUUCGGGCCUCGCAAUUAUUAGAGCGGCCGAUAUCGGAUUAGCUAGUUGGUGGGGUAACGGCCACCAAGGCGACGAUCCGUAGCUGGUUUGAGAGGACGACCAGCCACACUGGGACUGAGACACGGCCCAGACUCAUGCGGGAGGCAGCAGUGGGGAAUUUUUGGACAAUGGGGGAAACUCCUGAUCCAGCCAUCCCGCGUGUGCGAUGAAGGCCUUCGGGUUGUAAAAGCACUUUUGGCAGGAAAGAAACGGCAUGGAUACUCCGCAACUGACGGUACCAAGAAUAAGCACCGGCUAACUACGUGCCAGCAGCCGCGGUAAUACGUAGGGUGCAAGCGUUAAUCGGAAUUACUGGGCGUAAAGCGUGCGCAGGGCGGUUCGGAAAGAAAGAUGUGAAAUCCCAGAGCUUAACUUCUUGAACUGCAUUUUUAACUACUGAGCUAGAGUGUGUCAGAGGGAGGUGGAAUUCCGCGUAGCAGUGAAAUGCGUAGAUAGUGGAGGAACACCGAUGGCGAAGGCAGCCUCCUGGGAUAACACCGACGCUCAUACACGAAAGCGGAGCAAACAGGAUUAGAUACCCCGGUAGUCCACGCCCUAAACGAUGUCAACUAGCUGUUGGGGCCUUCGCCCGGUAGCGCAGUUGAAUGCGUGGUUGACCGCCUGGGAGCAUGGUCACGGCAAGAUUAAAACUCAAAGAACGACGGGGACCCGCACAAGCGGAUACGAUGUGGAUGAAUUGAUAAACGCGAAAACCUUACUCACCUCGCAUAUGUCUGAAUCCCGAAGAGAUCGGGAGUGCUCGCAAGAGAACUGAACAGGUGUCGUAUGGCUGUCGUCAGCUCGUGUUUCGAGAUGUUGGGUUAAGUCCCGCAACGAGCGCACCUUGUCACAGCAUGAAAGGGCACUUUGAUGAGACUGCGGCAUAAACCGGAGGAAGGUGGGACGACGUCAAGUCCUCAUGGCCCUGGUGGGUAGGCUUCACACGUCAUACAAUGGUCGGGACAGAGGGUCGCCAACCCGCGAGGGGAGCCAAUCCCAGAAACCUCGAUCAGUCCGGAUCGCAGUUCCGCAACCUGACUGCGUGAAGUCGGAAUCGCUAGUAAUCGUGGAUCAGCAUGUCGCGGUGAAUACGUUCCCGGGUCUUGUACACACCGCCCGUCACACCAUGGGAGGCUUCACCAGAAGUAGUUAGCCUAACCGUGGAGGGCGAUUACCACGGCAGGAUUCAUGACUGGGGUGAAGUCGUAAC
rnacentral:rRNA from 1 species